UACGAAGGGGGCAAGCGUUGUUCGGAAUUACUGGGCGUAAAGGGCGCGCAGGCGGCCGAUCAAGUCAGAUGUGAAAGCCCCGGGCUCAACCUGGGAAUAGCAUUUGGGACUGGUCGGCUAGAGUUCGGGAGAGGAGAGUGGAAUUCCCAGUGUAGAGGUGAAAUUCGUAGAUAUUGGGAAGAACACCGGUGGCGAAGGCGGCUCUCUGGACCGAUACUGACGAUGAGGCGCGAAAGCGUGGGGAGCAAACAGG
rnacentral:rRNA from 1 species